rnacentral:rRNA from 1 species
UCUGAUGGAGCACGCCGCGUGAGUGAAGAAGGGUUUCGGCUCGUAAGCUCUGUUGUUAAAGAAGAACGUGGGUAAGAGUAACUGUUUACCCACUGACGGUAUUUAACCAGAAAGCCACGGCUAACUACGUGCCAGCAGCCGCGGUAAUACGUAGGUGGCAAGCGUUAUCCGGAUUUAUUGGGCGUAAAGCGAGCGCAGGCGGUCUUUUAAGUCUAAUGUGAAAGCCUUCGGCUCAACCGAAGAAGUGCAUUGGAAACUGGGAGACUUGAGUGCAGAAGAGGACAGUGGAACUCCAUGUGUAGCGGUGAAAUC